UUACGACCAUAGCAUUUUCAAUCUCCGGUUCUCGUACGAUCACUGAAGUUAAGCAAUCUCGAGCCUGGUCAAUACCUAGAUGGAUGACCGCUUGGGAAUACCAAGUGCUGUAA